rnacentral:misc_RNA from 1 species
GAUGAAGAACGCAGCGAAAUGCGAUAAGUAGUGUGAAUUGCAGAAUUCAGUGAAUCAUCGAAUCUUUGAACGCACAUUGCGCCCCUUGGUAUUCCAUGGGGCAUGCCUGUUCGAGCGUCAUUUGUACCUUCAAGCUUUGCUUGGUGUUGGGUGUUUGUUUCGCCUUUGCGUGUAGACUCGCCUUAAAAUAAUUGGCAGCCGGCGUAUUGAUUUCGGAGCGCAGUACAUCUCGCGCUUUGCACUCAUAACGACAGCGUCCAAAAGUACAUUUUACACUCUUGACCUCGGAUCAGGUAGGGAUACCCGCUGAACUUAAGCAUAUCAAUAAGCGGAGGA